rnacentral:SRP_RNA from 1 species
GCCAGGUGUGGUGGCACACACCUGUAGUCCCAGCUACUUGGGGGGCUGAGGUGGGAGGAUCACUUGAGCCCAGGAGGUCGAGGCUGCAGUGAGCUGUGACUGCACCACUGCACUCCAGCCUGGGUGACAGAGCGAGACCCUGCCUCCA